rnacentral:rRNA from 1 species
CAGUAGCCGCGGGAAUACGUAGGUGGCAAGCGUUGUCCGGAAUUAUUGGGCGUAAAGGGCUCGCAGGCGGUUUCUUAAGUCUGAUGUGAAAGCCCCCGGCUCAACCGGGGAGGGUCAUUGGAAACUGGGAAACUUGAGUGCAGAAGAGGAGAGUGGAAUUCCACGUGUAGCGGUGAAAUGCGUAGAGAUGUGGAGGAACACCAGUGGCGAAGGCGACUCUCUGGUCUGUAACUGUCGCUGAGGAGCGAAAGCGUGGGGAGCGAACAGGAUUAGAUACCCCUGUAGUCCCUGUCUCUUAUAA